CAGUCGAGCGGAACGAAAGUAGCUUGCUACUAGGCGUCGNNNGGCGGACGGGUGAGUAAUGCUUAGGAAUCUACCGAGUAGUGGGGGAUAGCCAUUGGAAACGAUGAUUAAUACCGCAUAUAUCCUACGGGGGAAAGCAGGGGACCUUCGGGCCUUGCGCUAUUCGAUGAGCCUGAGUGAGAUUAGCUAGUUGGUGGGGUAAAGGCCUACCAAGGCGACGAUCUCUAGCUGGUCUGAGAGGAUGAUCAGCCACACUGGGACUGAGACACGGCCCAGACUCCUACGGGAGGCAGCAGUGGGGAAUAUUGCACAAUGGGCGAAAGCCUGAUGCAGCCAUGCCGCGUGUGUGAAGAAGGCCUUCGGGUUGUAAAGCACUUUCAGCGAGGAGGAAAGGUUAGUAGUUAAUAACUGCUAGCUGUGACGUUACUCGCAGAAGAAGCACCGGCUAAUUUAGUGCCAGCAGCCGCGGUAAUACUAAAGGUGCAAGCGUUAAUCGGAAUUACUGGGCGUAAAGCGCGCGUAGGUGGUUUGUUAAGUUGGAUGUGAAAGCCCAGGGCUCAACCUUGGAACUGCAUUCAAAACUGACUCACUAGAGUACGAGAGAGGUUAGUGGAAUUUCCUGUGUAGCGGUGAAAUGCGUAGAGAUGGGAAGGAACACCAGUGGCGAAGGCGACUGACUGGCUCGAUACUGACACUGAGGUGCGAAAGCGUGGGGAGCAAACGGGAUUAGAUACCCCGGUAGUCCACGCCGUAAACGAUGUCUACUAGCCGUUGGAGGACUUGAUCCUUUAGUGGCGCAGCUAACGCGAUAAGUAGACCGCCUGGGGAGUACGGUCGCAAGAUUAAAACUCAAAUGAAUUGACGGGGGCCCGCACAAGCGGUGGAGCAUGUGGUUUAAUUCGAAGCAACGCGAAGAACCUUACCUACUCUUGACAUCCAGUGAACUUGCUAGA
rnacentral:rRNA from 1 species